UACGAAGGGGGCGAGCGUUGUUCGGAUUUACUGGGCGUAAAGGGCGCGCAGGCGGCUCUGAAAGUCAGAUGUGAAAGCCCCGGGCUUAACCUGGGAAUUGCAUUUGAUACUCUGGAGCUUGAGUACGGGAGAGGAGAGUGGAAUUCCCAGUGUAGAGGUGAAAUUCGUAGAUAUUGGGAAGAACACCGGUGGCGAAGGCGGCGACCUGGUCCUUGACUGACGCUGAGGCACGAAAGCGUGGGGAGCAAACAGG
rnacentral:rRNA from 1 species